UUCCUUCUGCAGAAAAUAAUGAUUUCUCUUAUUUCGGGUUUUUACAUUAAUCUUUCGUGUGUGUAUGUGCCUGUGUGUAUGCGUGUGUGUGUGUGUAUAUAUUAUAAAUCUACUGUUUAUUUUAGUAAUUACAUAUAUGGAUUAUAGGAUAAAUUCUACAUUUAUUCUCUUUUUUAACAUGUUUACCUAAGACUUGAUUUGAAAAUUGCUAAUGUUGUUUCUGGCCUAGUCAUCCUCAUUUGGAAUUAUGGCAGUAACGUUCAGUAAUAUUAACAAUUUUUCUAGAUAUUAUCUCUCUGGCUGGGAAGAUUUUCCGUAGAUGAUUCAUGUAAAGCUUAGAAACUGAAGGUACUUUCUGAAGAAGCAUUUACCUUUUUUACUACUCUUAUUUUGAGUGACUUUUCAGUGACUAUUUUUCACGAUGUACAUCUUUAACAUACUGCCCUUCCUUCCUUCAUAUUGCAUCCUAAAGCUGAAGUGAGACCAGGACGACAGAGGACACCAACCAACCACACCUCGGCCAAACUUAAAUCCUCAUGUUUAACUCACUCAGUAUUUCAGGUAUCUGUUGUGGUGUAACAAACCACCUCAGAAUUUAGUAGCCUAACACAUAAGCAAUUAUUAUCUCUCAGAAUUCUGCAACCGGAGCCAUCUGGGAUGUUCUGUGAUUCUAUGUGGUAUCCGGGAUGUUCUGUGAUCCUAUGUGGUAUCUGCUGGUGCCAAAAAAGCCCCAAUGGCUUCUCUGUUCAUAUAACGGGCACCCCAGUGGGGCUGGCUGGAACAGCUGCAGGCUGUUUUGGGGAUACUUUUUCCCUGCCUCUGUCUUUGGCUUUCUUGGUUGCUUCUUCCAAGAGCAAAAGCAGAAGCUUCCUAGCCUCUUAAGGGCUAGACCUGGAGCUGGCCAACACCAUGUUACUUCCAGUGCAUUCUCUUGGUCAAGACAAAUUACAGGGCCAGCCCAGAUACAAGGGAAAGAGAGUCCGCCUUUUGAUUGGUAGAACAGCAUGCACAUAUAGGGAAGAGGAAAGUCAUUUGCAGCCACCUUUGUAGAUUAUCUACCAUAUUUAAUUUGCCACACUUUAUUUUUCCUGCCUCUGUCUUUGGCUUUCUUGUUCUCCUCUAUCUAUUAAUAGUCUCUUCCUAAUUCUCCACCCAUUAAAAUACACCUAAUUCUUCAAGGCCCAACCUAAUGCCACUACCUUCAUGAAAAGGCUGGUUAUAUAAUUUAUCAUUUAAAAGGGGAUGCUUUAAGAGUAAAAGGGGCCACCGAGAGGACAACAGGCAUAAACUGGGAUGGUUGCUGGCAAAUGGGGACUUAUGAUAACUAUUCAUGAGUCUCUCCCUGAUUCUUCUAUUCAGGAACAAUCUUUCCCUUCUACUGAAUUUGUUCUUAUCUCUGAUGGUACACAUUUUAUUCUUCCUAGUAUUUUGAGUGCAAAUAACUGUCAAAGCUCUCCUAAAAUGUAAAUUCCUAGAAAGCAGAUUCAUUGUCUUAUUUGCCUUUCCCAGAGCCCUUGGCAUAGUGCAAUUGAGUAAGCGCUCAAUUAUGAAUCGGAGAAGAGAGUGGAAGACAGAAGCACCAGCACUGAUGUUCUUAGGUUAUUAAAAAUGUCUUAUAGAAUUGAAUAGCUCCACUGGAUCUAAGUACUAGUAAUUAUACAUCUUUUACUAACCUUUGAUUGAACAUCUAGGCAAUGCAGUUCCUUUGUCUCAAACAGGGGGAUAUCAUACUUGUGUUACAUAUGUUAUAGGGAUAUUGUAAAGGGCAAAGGAAAUGAUGUAUGCACAAACAUUUUGAAAUAUUAUGCAAAAAUACUUCUACAGAUACAAGAUGAUAUUAUUUCAAUUUAUUUGUUUCUAAAAACGGCUCCAAUUGAGCAGUCCAGAUAAUUUCUUCAUCCAUCGCUUUUUUAGUGGAAGUUCAGACUUUAAUUCCCUUUUUCCAAAAUUCUUAACUCUAGUUAAGAUAAAGUGGGGGGACAGCAGGUCAGAAGUAACUAGAUAAAGUCUCAGCCCAGCCAUUUCCGUCGACUGCUGAGCAUGUGAGCACUGAGCUUCUUUGAGUCUGUUUUCAUAUCUUUAAAAUGAAAUAACACCUACUCAGUCCAAGGGUUUAGUGUGAGACUCAAAUUGAAUACAUAUGAAAAAUCCUUCUAAAAUAAG
rnacentral:lncRNA from 1 species